ACCCUCUGUUCAGUAGCAUAUAAACUAAAUUUGGAAUGAUACAGAGAAGAUUCAUGCAGCCACUGUGCAAGCAGGACACAGGAAUUUGUCAUACGUUUUAGAGUUUU